rnacentral:rRNA from 1 species
AGUGAACGCUGGCGGUAGGCCUAACACAUGCAAGUCGAACGGCAGCACAGUAAGAGCUUGCUCUUACGGGUGGCGAGUGGCGGACGGGUGAGGAAUACAUCGGAAUCUACUUUUUCGUGGGGGAUAACGUAGGGAAACUUACGCUAAUACCGCAUACGACCUACGGGAGAAAGCAGGAGAUCUUCGGACCUUGCGCGUUUGAAUGAGCUGAUGUCGGAUUAGCUAGUUGGCGGGGUAAAGGCACACCAAGGCGACGAUACGUAGCAGGUCUGAGAGGAUGAUCGGCCACACUGGAACUGAGACACGGUCCAGACUCCUACGGGAGGCAGCAGUGGGGAAUAUUGGGCAAUGGGCGCAAGCCUGACCCAGCAAUACCGCGUGAGUGAAGAAGGCCUUCGGGUUGUAAAGCCCUUUUGUUAGGAAAGAAAAGCAGCAGGUUAAUACCCCGCUGUUCUGACGGUACCCAAAGAAUAAGCACCGGCUAACUUCGUG